UAGUGGCGAACGGGUGAGUAACACGUGGGCAAUCUGCCCUUCACUCUGGGACAAGCCCUGGAAACGGGGUCUAAUACCGGAUAAUACUCCUGCCUGCAUGGGCGGGGGUUGAAAGCUCCGGCGGUGAAGGAUGAGCCCGCGGCCUAUCAGCUUGUUGGUGGGGUAAUGGCCCACCAAGGCGACGACGGGUAGCCGGCCUGAGAGGGCGACCGGCCACACUGGGACUGAGACACGGCCCAGACUCCUACGGGAGGCAGCAGUGGGGAAUAUUGCACAAUGGGCGAAAGCCUGAUGCAGCGACGCCGCGUGAGGGAUGACGGCCUUCGGGUUGUAAACCUCUUUCAGCAGGGAAGAAGCGAAAGUGACGGUACCUGCAGAAGAAGCGCCGGCUAACUACGUGCCAGCAGCCGCGGUAAUACGUAGGGCGCAAGCGUUGUCCGGAAUUAUUGGGCGUAAAGAGCUCGUAGGCGGCUUGUCACGUCGGAUGUGAAAGCCCGAGNCUUAACCUCGGGUCUGCAUUCGAUACGGGCUAGCUAGAGUGGGGNAGGGGAGAUCGGAAUUCCU
rnacentral:rRNA from 1 species